CGUCAACCCCCUUUACCUCCAAAUGUACCUCAAAUCUUUAUGUUUGAGUGUGACUCACAAAUAUUGCUUACAAAGUGUAGCUUCACACCACAUGCUCUAGAUGUCAGUGUUUGCUUGUGUCACAGUUCCUGUUGCCACCUCUGGUUGCUAUAACUCCUGAUAUAUGAAUUGUAAAAGCCACAGAAAGUUUAGCAUCGACUGUGAACAGUUGUGAAAGGCCAAGAGAGACAGGAUUCAAAUCUCUCUUAUUUGAUGCAGAGAGUAACAUGGCCAGUGCCAGUAACUUGUGAUGACAGCUUCAUAUCAAAUUAAUCCAUGGCAGCUUGCUACGUGACAGUGCCAAAGCUUUGUAUACAAUUGAACAAAUAAUGCACGCAAACUUUUCAAGGAGGAUGAGAGAAGAUUCAUCGACAGCUCCGAACGAUGGGGGGAACGAUUCUGUGUGCUGACAGUGAAGCUGGCGGCUUUUAUUUAAAACAAACUUCCCCUCAGUGAUCCAUGGUUCCUCUCUGAGACAUGGACAGAAGAGUCAUGUUUGGUGUUUGUUGUUAAUCUCUCCCUGUGCAGAACUCCAGAGCGAGGAUCCUCAGAGUGUUCCAAGCUGGGGAUUCAGACUUUGUGGCCGCAGCCUGUGCAGAGGCAGAUAGGCCUGCCUGUUUUAUAUGUAAAGCUGCCAGCCAGAAAGCACGGGCCCGCAGGGUACUCCGCACAACUCCUUUGUUGCAGCCAAACUGUGACGGGGUCCCACUGUCUAAGCUGCUUCGCAUUCUGGGAGCACAAGCGAUGGGAAGGACACUAAGGAUGGUACAGCAGAGCCCAGUUACCACCAGCUUCGGUACACUCUGCACUCCAAAGUCAGGUGUGAUUACAGCGUUCAGCGUCGAGGAAAUGGAGGUUCAAGGAGAAACAAGAGGGGUUGUGGGCGUGUGAAGAUGGAAACGAGCGCUGGGUCAUUAGUCUUUGAUGUUUUUUUUUUUUUCCCCUCCUCUGAUGUGACCCGUGACUAAUUCUUCUCCACACUCUUUGCAUGAAUUGUGGGUGUGUGCAGCACUUUUAUUAUCUUUGAAUAUAUUAAUAAAUCUAUCUAUCUAUUGC
rnacentral:lncRNA from 1 species